rnacentral:lncRNA from 1 species
AUGUGCUAUUGUGCUCCCUAUGUGAACAGCCAGGCACCUGCGCAAAAGAUGUUAUGUUUUUUGGACCACACUAGUAUUGUCUCAGGUAAAGCAUUUGUGUUCUGUCGACAGAUAACCUUGUUGUCCAGAGUCGGUGACAAAAACCUCAGGGAUGGCAUUACAAGGUUCAUGAACAGGCUCAUGACGAAUGGAGUCAUGGCGAAAUACAGCAUGGAGGGGGACAACGUGACAAACUGCCUUUUAAGGUGACAAAGCUGUGUCAUGUGAUCAAAUGUAAGAGACUAAGAUUGAAAUAACUGAAAUUACUGAAUGGGCUUCAUUUGCUGUGACUGUUAAUGCCUACUGGCUUUAUUAGGAACCAUCAGAUUCAGGCUACUGGGUGGCUCUAAGAAGUGGUUCUUUCAUUACUCUUUCAACUCCCAAAACAUUUAACAUCUAAAUAGGCGCUCUGUAAAAAUGUUAAAUUUUUUCUUAUGCCCUCUCUCCAGCUGCUGUGAAGAGAUGAAGCGUGAAGGCCACGGACGCAGAAAUACAAAGCAUUAUCCAGACCCACCUGAAACAUGCCCCAGCAAGGAGCGGGGACAAGGGGCAGACCCCCACUGGACUUUAAUUCAAUAAACAUUUGUUACAUUAAACAUGUUCAUUUUUUAUUAUUUUUUUAUUUUAUAUAGUAUUCAAUAUAUAGAUAACUCCAUACAUAUAUCUGUUCCUGAAUGCUGUCUUUUUUACCUAAGUCCAUGUACUACUUUUAUUUUACAGUAUGGGUGAACAUCACUCGGGUAUUUUUAACUUUAUCACAGGUGAGUUUAUUUACUAUCAAAGUUUCAACCAGGUCCACCAUUCCUGUGAUAUUUUAAGUUGGCAAAGUGAAAUUUGCUGUUGUCUAUUGGACUUUUUGACCUCGAUGCAGUUUGAGGAAUUGUUUGCUGAAAUUGAGAAGUUAAUUCAAAUAGUUGUACAUUAGAGCAUUGAGAAUUGCACAUGUAUACAGCACAAGAGCUGUGCUUGUCAUAGAAUUUAUGGAUGUGGUAAUGCCAGUUAUGUAGGCACAAGUUGAAAGCCUCAGUUUAGGUAAACAUCCUUUUAAAUGCAUAUGUGUAUUUUGACAAAGGUUGAAAUGUCGUCUAUUCGACUUUGAAACAACGUAAAAUGAUGCCGUCUAUUAGCCGUCGAAAUGACGUCGUUCUCAUGACCGACGUCAGAAAAACUUUCAUUUCAGCACCUCUGGUCGACGUCGAAUCAACCUUGUAGCG